UCUAGUUCUAGUACUAGACAUCUGGUCUAGAGGAAGACGCUGUCUGUCCAAAACAGACCGGAUUUGAAGUUCUAAGCAAAUGCCACUCUUCUCUCAUCGCCAUUCCCCUUCCCUCCCCACAUCUUCCUCUAAAACCAUCAAGCCCAAUAAACCCGUUUUUACUCCUCCCUCCUCUCGUUAUCCCUUGCACCUCCUCGUUUUUUCACUUGUUUCCCUUCUCAUCGGCCUUGCUGCCAUAAUAUUUGCCAUCUCCGCAGUCCGCCGGUCCCGGCCCUUGCCGGUUUUUCGCUGUGGUAGAUCCGAAGACACUUUCCGGGAAUUCUACUCGAGCUCGGGUUCUAACAAGCUUGGAGAUAAUAAUGAGGCGCUGAAUAAUCGGCCUAAGCUUCUUGGGUUCGUUGGGAUUCAAACUGGGUUCGCUUCCGUUAAUCGUCGUGAUGCUCUUAGAAGUACUUGGUUCCCUUCUGAUCCAGAUGGGCUUUUGAGGUUAGAGCAAGCUACUGGUUUAGCAUUUAGGUUUGUAAUAGGGCGAUCAAAAGAUACAAAGAAGAUGGCACGACUUGAGAAAGAAAUUGAGAAGUACAGAGAUUUCAUGCUGAUUGAUGUUGAGGAAGAAUAUCUAAGGCUUCCAUACAAAACGUUGGCAUUUUUCAAGGCAGCAUAUAAGCUUUUUGAAGCAGAAUAUUAUGUUAAAGCUGAUGAUGACAUCUAUUUGCGUCCAGAUCGACUUGCAACUCUGCUCGCUAAGGAAAGAACCCAUUCAAUGACCUAUAUUGGGUGCAUGAAGAAAGGGCCAGUGAUCACUGACCCUAAAAUGAAGUGGUAUGAAAAUUCUGGACAUCUGAUUGGAAAUGAGUACUUUUUGCAUGCUUAUGGCCCUAUAUAUGUUCUUUCAGCAGAGGUUGUGGCUUCUUUAGCUGCUGCUAGAAACAACAGCUUUCAGUUUGAGAAUGUUCAACAAUGAGGAUGUCACUAUUGGUUCAUGGAUGCUUGCUAUGAAUGUUCACCAUGAAGAUAACCGAGCAAUCUGUGAUCCUCGAUGCACUCCGACAUCUAUCGCAGUUUGGGACAUUCCUAAAUGUUCAGGUUUAUGCAAUCCCGCUGCUCGGAUGAAAGAGCUUCACAAGAUUGAUAUGUGUUCGAAAAGCCCCACAUUGCAGGCCGAUGAUAGAUAGUCUCUCUGUUUUGUUCAUCUUCCGUUGUAUUCACACAUGGCAAGUGGAGCUGUUUUGCUGGGAAAGCAAUUAUAUUCUUGAAACAGCUUUGGGAAGAAAGGUGGCUUCAGCAUUCUACCCCAGAAUUAUUUAUGUAAAAAAGUUCUUAAACAUAAAAACAGUAAGUAUGUACGAUAUGGAUACCAGAUCUACAUCGGAGCAACCAUUAUGAUCAUGACAGACUGGAUCAGAUCGGAGUUUGAUGAAAUAUAUCUACUGUGAUCUGAUUAUUUUUGUCAAGCAGAUUUGUCACAUGAUUUGCAUAAAUCACGUGUUUAUAUAAAUAUUAAUUUUUUAGUUAUUAAUUAUGCGAUGAAUGAAUAU